GGCUGCAGCGUGAUCGCCUGCUC
rnacentral:ncRNA from 2 species